GACGAACCGUGCGAACGUUGUUCGGAAUCACUGGGCUUAAAGGGCGCGUAGGCGGCCGAUCAAGUCCGGGGUGAAAUCCUCCCGCCCAACGGGAGAAGUGCCUUGGAUACUGAUCGGCUCGAGCGGGGUAGGGGCAUGUGGAACUUCCGGUGGAGCGGUGAAAUGCGUAGAUAUCGGAAGGAACGCCGGUGGCGAAAGCGACGUGCUGGACCCCUUCUGACGCUGAGGCGCGAAAGCCAGGGGAGCAAACGGG
rnacentral:rRNA from 1 species